rnacentral:miRNA from 2 species
UGAUUUCUUCUGGUGUUCGGA